UACGAAGGGGGCUAGCGUUGCUCGGAAUCACUGGGCGUAAAGGGUGCGUAGGCGGGUUUUUAAGUCAGAGGUGAAAUCCUGGAGCUACAACUCCAGAACUGCCUUUGAUACUGAAAGUCUUGAGUAUGGGAGAGGUGAGUGGAACUGCGAGUGUAGAGGUGAAAUUCGUAGAUAUUCGCAAAGAACACCAGUGGCGAAGGCGGCUCACUGGCCCAUACCUGACGCUGAGGCACGAAAGCGUGGGGGAAGCCAAACAGGG
rnacentral:rRNA from 1 species